UACGUAGGGGGCAAGCGUUGUCCGGAUUUAUUGGGCGUAAAGAGCGUGUAGGCGGCCAGAUAGGUCAGCUGUGAAAACUCGAGGCUCAACCUCGAGAUGUCGGCUGAAACCAUCUGGCUAGAGUCCGGAAGAGGAGAAUGGAAUUCCCGGUGUAGCGGUGAAAUGCGCAGAUAUCGGGAAGAACACCCGUGGCGAAGGCGGUUCUCUGGGACGGUACUGACGCUGAGACGCGAAAGCGUGGGUAGCAAACAGG
rnacentral:rRNA from 1 species